rfam:Aedes aegypti strain Liverpool supercont1.1047 genomic scaffold, whole genome shotgun sequence.
CCAUCGGCCCUUUUCAGGGCUAUCAAAUGUGUGGAAAGAGUUAAA